UUCACUAAAUAAGAUUCUAAGAAUAAGGGAGGGUACAAUAUUGGAAUACAGAAGAGAGGAGACGAAGGCAAUAGAAGAUGCUACAAUAUUGGAAUAGAAAGAACUAAAGAAGAAGAUGGGAAGUUGGUCUGAGUUUUGAUAAGUACUGGACUCACCGUUUUUGUGGGAAGGAAUGGGAUGAGCACGAACAAGGUGACACUCAGUUGUUGGAUUUUGAUCUAAGGAAGAAAAGCGCGAAUCUGGGCAUUUCGUUUUCGUUUUUUUUUUUUUUUUGGUUAAUUGGUAAUCUCUUUAUUCAAAGCACGAUCUGCUGCAUGAAUGGCUCUUCUUCUCUGAAUUUCUUGACUGCCAAUUCUAAUCCCCUUAACGGAGUGGCGGCGGCUAUGUGGCUUAUGCUCAAGUGAACUCAAGAUUGCGACCUGAUCAGUAGUGCACCUGAUGUGGAAAGAAAGAAGGUCGGCUGGAACAACUUUCUCAAGGAAUCUGAAAAAUUUCUCAUAUGAUGUUCAUGUCGUAUCUCUUCGGAAUUAUUUUGCAUUCGCCCCUUUACGACCAAGUGUUACCUGUGGAACUGUGGAGCCUUUGGAGCAUUGUUGAACCAAUUCGUAACAUAGUCAGAAAGUGACGGAGAAAUUCAAGGAGGUGAAUGAUACUUUCAAUCACGCAAGCAUGUUUGAAGUGGACCGACUUGAUGCUAUUCUUCUCAUCGAAAUUGGAUUGAUACAAGAUGAUGCUGGAUAUGCAGAUGGAGUCAGCUAGAGUUUAAAAUCGCCGCAGGAAAUUCAGUAUAUACUGUCGUUAUGUCCCUGAAGUUUAUUUAACUUUUCAAACAUAGUCGUUUAAAUGGAUUUAGAUAUACGGGAAGAAAGCAUAGCAUCGAGUAAUUUACUCCUCUAAACUUCUAACUUGAUUACUGUUGGUAUUAAAGUAUGAAAAAGUGAAGAAGAAUGCUCAGCCUGUAUUCCUUUUUUAAUUUGGUUUCGUUUCUUUUCAAUUUUGUUUUGAAUUGGUUUGGCUAUUUGGAUUCUUACUGUUCUGAAACUGUGAACUUCAUUUGAUUUUUGUUGUUAGUUUAAUUAGAAAUAAAGCAAUUGAUAAUUGUUAAAUGACU